AAAAGAUUUGGAAUCAGCAACUUUGUAAGAAGAUCUUCUAUCAAAACCAUCAAUUGAAUCCCUUAUGUGACAACUUUGUACUUGUAUGAGAUUGUUUUUAAAAAGCCAUAGUAGGGAGCAAAAAUCCAUCACAAGAACAAUGGAGAUAACAUCAAAAUUUCUAAAAUGAAAUGUUUCAAAAGCCUUAUUACAACCUAAAAGUGCCUGGGUUAUAGAUGGUCUAACAAAAUUAUCUAAAUUAUUAUUAAUUCCUGCAUUCUAAUUGACAAAGUAAUUGAAGUAAUUAACUAAAUUAACAACUUAACUAAACAAACCAUCUAAUAAUAAUAAUAAUAAUAAUAAUACACUUCCCAGUGAUGUAUGUAAAAAAUUGGAUCAAUACCUGAAUGGUGUGGAGCAGAGGGUCCAGGAUAAGCACCAGGAGGAUGAGCGCCUGGAGGGUAGCCAGCUGGGGGAUAUCCUUGGGGUGGAUAGCCAUGAGAUGGAGGAUAUCCUCCGGGUGGGGGAUACCCUCCAGGAGGUGGAUACCCUCCAGGAGGUGGAUACCCGCCAGGAGGUGGGUAUCCAUGGGAAGGAUAUCCAGCUCCAUGGGCAACACCAUGAGCCAGAUGGGAGAAUAAACCUUUGUCAGAUUCAUCAUGUUUAUCUUUUCCACCCCCCAUGAUUUAUCAGCUUCUAAUAA
rnacentral:lncRNA from 1 species